UACGUAGGGUGCAAGCGUUGUCCGGAAUUAUUGGGCGUAAAGAGCUCGUAGGCGGUCUGUUGCGUCGGCUGUGAAAACCCGGGGCUCAACUCCGGGCCUGCAGCCGAUACGGGCAGACUAGAGUUCGGCAGGGGAGACUGGAAUUCCUGGUGUAGCGGUGAAAUGCGCAGAUAUCAGGAGGAACACCGGUGGCGAAGGCGGGUCUCUGGGCCGUUGCUGACGCUGAGGCGCGACAGCGUGGGGAGCAAACAGG
rnacentral:rRNA from 1 species